rnacentral:rRNA from 1 species
AGUGAACGCUGGCGGCAGGCCUAAUACAUGCAAGUCGAACGGCAGCACAGCAGAGCUUGCUCUGUGGGUGGCGAGUGGCGGACGGGUGAGGAAUACAUGGGAAUCUGCCCAGUCGUGGGGGAUAACGUAGGGAAACUUACGCUAAUACCGCAUGCGCCCUUCGGGGGAAAGCCGGGGACCUUCGGGCCUGGCGCGAUUGGAUGAGCCCAUGUCGGAUUAGCUAGUUGGCGGGGUAAUGGCCCACCAAGGCGACGAUCCGUAGCUGGUCUGAGAGGAUGAUCAGCCACACUGGAACUGAGACACGGUCCAGACUCCUACGGGAGGCAGCAGUAGGGAAUAUUGGACAAUGGGCGCAAGCCUGAUCCAGCCAUGCCGCGUGAGUGAAGAAGGCCCUCGGGUUGUAAAGCUCUUUUGUCCGGAAAGAAAAGCAUCCAGUUAAUACCUGGGUGUCCUGACGGUACCGGAAGAAUAAGCACCGGCUAACUUCGUGCCAGCCGCCGCAGUAACAC